ACGGCUCAGUAACACGUGGACAACCUGCCCUUAGGUUGGGUAUAAACCCGGGAAACUGGGUAUAAUACCCGAUAGGUCUCGAUUGCUGGAAUGCAUCGAGAUUUAAAGCUCCGGCGCCUAAGGAUGGGUCUGCGGCCUAUCAGGUAGUAGUGGGUGUAGCGUACCUACUAGCCUACGACGGGUACGGGUUGUGAGAGCAAGAGCCCGGAGAUGGAUUCUGAGACACGAAUCCAGGCCCUACGGGGUGCAGCAGGCGCGAAAACUUUACAAUGCUGGCAACAGCGAUAAGGGAACCUCAAGUGCCGGGUUACAAAUCUGGCUGUCGAGAUGCCUAAAAAGCAUUUCAUAGCAAGGGCCGGGCAAGACCGGUGCCAGCCGCCGCGGUAACACCGGCGGCUCGAGUGGUAACCGUUAUUAUUGGGUCUAAAGGGUCUGUAGCCGGCCGGAUAAGUCUCUUGAGAAAUCUGGCAGCUUAACUGUCAGGCUUUCAGGAGAUACUGUCUGGCUCGAGGCCGGGAGAGGUGAGAGGUACUUCAGGGGUAGGGGUGAAAUCUUGUAAUCCUUGAAGGACCACCAGUGGCGAAGGCGUCUCACCAGAACGGACCUGACGGCAAGGGACGAAAGCUAGGGGCACGAACCGGAUUAGAUACCCGGGUAGUCCUAGCCGUAAACGAUACUCGCUAGGUGUCGGCCACGGUGCGACCGUUGUCGGUGCCGUAGGGAAGCCGUGAAGCGAGCCACCUGGGAAGUACGGCCGCAAGGCUGAAACUUAAAGGAAUUGGCGGGGGAGCAC
rnacentral:rRNA from 1 species